rfam:Gossypium hirsutum cultivar TM-1 chromosome 12, whole genome shotgun sequence
AAUCUGUGGUACGGGCAUUAUUGAAUCAACAUUUUGAAACGUUCCUACGCCUUAUAAAAAUUUUCUCCCUCCAUCUGUCUAAAAAAAAUCUCUCUUCUUAGUUG